rnacentral:rRNA from 1 species
UGAAACACGGACCAAGGAGUCUAGCAUGUGCGCGAGUCAUUGGGAAUAACUAAACCUAAAGGCGCAAUGAAAGUGAAGGUUCGCCUCGCGCGGACCGAGGGAAGAUGGGCGAACGCGACAACGCGUCGCCCCGCACUCCCGGGGCGUCUCGUUCUCAUUGCGAGAAGAGGCGCACCAAGAGCGUACACGCUGGGACCCGAAAGAUGGUGAACUAUGCCUGGUCAGGACGAAGUCAGGGGAAACCCUGAUGGAGGUCCGUAGCGAUUCUGACGUGCAAAUCGAUCGUCGGAACUGGGUAUAGGGGCGAAAGACUAAUCGAACCAUCUAGUAGCUGGUUCCCUCCGAAGUUUCCCUCAGGAUAGCUGGCGCUCGCAGCGUACGAGUCUCAUCCGGUAAAGCGAAUGAUUAGAGGCAUUGGGGUCGAAACGGCCUCAACCUAUUCUCAAACUUUAAAUGGGUGAGAUCUCCGGCUUGCUCGAACUAAUGAAGCCGCGAGACACGGAUCAGAGUGCCAAGUGGGCCAUUUUUGGUAAGCAGAACUGGCGCUGUGGGAUGAACCAAACGCCGAGUUAAAGCGCCUAAAUCGACGCUUAUGGGAUACCAUGAAAGGCGUUGGUAACUUAAGACAGCAGGACGGUGGCCAUGGAAGUCGGAAUCCG